CCUGCCCAAUGAUCUUAAACUUAAAAAAUAUAACUAUUUUUAAAAAGAUUUAAAGGACGCAGUAUCCUGACUGUGAUAAUGUAGCAUAAUCAUUCGCCAUUUAAUUGAUGGAUAGUAUGAAUGGUUGAACGAAUUCUUCACUGUCUUAAAAAAAGAAAUAAUGAAAUUUAAAUAAUAGUAAAGAUGCUAUUUAAAAUUGUAAGACGAAAAGACCCUAUAGAGCUUAACUAUAAGUUCUUUUAGUUAAAAGAACAUAAUUCUCAAAAUAAAGAACUUGGUAGUUUAGUUGGGGCGACUAUCUUCUAAUAUUAACGAAGACAAGCAAAAUUAAUAUAUAAUUUACUGUAUAACCUAUAAGUUUAACAAUUACAAAAGUAGGCAUAAUGACCCGUUUUCAUUUAGUAAUUAAAGAAAACGAUCAAUAAAUAAAAGCUACCUUAGGGAUAACAGGAUAAUUUUGUUUUAGAGAUCCUAUCGAAAACAAAGUUUGUCACCUCUAUGUUGAAUUAAGAUAUCCUAGUAAUGCAGAA
rnacentral:rRNA from 1 species